ACGCAGCAAAUCGAUAUUAAUUUGAAUUUCAGAAUUCAGUGAAUCAUGAAUUUUGAACGCCAUUGCCCCGCCAGUAUUCUGGCGGGCAUGCCUGUUCGAGCGUCAUUUCAACCCUCAAGCACAGCUUGGUGUUGGGACUCGCGUUAAUUCGCGUUCCCCAAAUUGAUUGGCGGUCACGUCGAGCUUCCAUAGCGUAGUCGUAAAACCAUGGGGAGGAGCAAGAUGCAAUAGAGGGGUAUGCCGUGCACAUGAUACGAGCGCAGAGCGUGUCGGAUAUGCUAUAUAGAGAAUAAGUCGGAUGAUGCAGUAAAUCAAGAAGCUGCGAGAUCCCAUUGCGUCCCUAAAAGUUUUUGUUUUGCAUGUGAGGGAGGAGCAAGAUGCAAUAGAGGGGUAUGCCGUGCACAUGAUACGAGCGCAGAGCGUGUCGGAUAUGCUAUAUAGAGAAUAAGUCGGAUGAUGCAGUAAAUCAAGAAGCUGCGAGAUCCCAUUGCG
rnacentral:rRNA from 1 species